rnacentral:rRNA from 1 species
CCUACGGGUGGCACCAGUGGGGAAUAUUGCACAAUGGGCGCAAGCCUGAUGCAGCCAUGCCGCGUGUGUGAAGAAGGCCUUCGGGUUGUAAAGCACUUUCAGCGGGGAGGAAGGCGUUAAGGUUAAUAACCUCAUCGAUUGACGUUACCCGCAGAAGAAGCACCGGCUAACUCCGUGCCAGCAGCCGCGGUAAUACGGAGGGUGCAAGCGUUAAUCGGAAUUACUGGGCGUAAAGCGCACGCAGGCGGUCUGUCAAGUCGGAUGUGAAAUCCCCGGGCUCAACCUGGGAACUGCAAUCGAAACUGGCAGGCUAGAGUCUUGUAGAGGGGGGUAGAAUUCCAGGUGUAGCGGUGAAAUGCGUAGAGAUCUGGAGGAAUACCGGUGGCGAUGGCGGCCCCCUGGACAAAGACUGACGCUCAGGUGCGGAAGCGUGGGGAGCAAACAGGAUUAGAUACCCCAGUAGUC